AGAAAGAAUAAGGGCGUCCUCUGAGACCCAUAGGGCAACAUGGAAACUUGACAGCAGCUGCCUGCAGAAUGCACAUAAGGUUUUUGGCAUUGUGCUUGCACUGAAUAAAAGCAAGCAGCUCCAGCUUCUCCGGGCUGCUCUUUGGACACCAGAGCCAGGCAGUCACCUAGCUGCUCUUACAGUGCAUACCUGUGUCUGAAUGGUCAUUUCAUCCAUCUGCCAGCGUCUGCAGGACAGAGCCAGCAGGUGGUGCCCUGUGUGAGGAAUGCUGCAACAGAUUGUGACAAAACCCUCGAGAAUGAAAGUGAAGUGACUGCGCACCCCGCCGUUACCGAGUAAAGGUGCCACAGAGGAGACAAAUAUUUUCCCUGAGCCCUCUCUCCCAAUAUAUUGGAAAAAAUACAAGGGAUACACUACUGUUAUGGGACCCUGUCUUAGUCAAGUGGAAUUAGAAGGGAGCUCUUGACCUGCCCAGUGAUGCAAGAUCAACAAGACAAUCAGUAAGAAACGUACAAACAUUAAGAAGAGCCUAUUCAGAAAAGACAGUCUUCCAGUUACCUUAUAAAGGCAAGGAAGAACUGGUAGUUUGAAAUAAAAUAAUUUCAAAAAGUGCUGUACCCCCUGAGUAUUCUGCUGUAAUAAGGAUGAAAUCCCAUAAGUCAAUUUUUUCUCGGGAUUGUGAAGUUCACUGCACACAACCAGCCUUAUUUUACAUCUCUUUCUUUUAUUUCAACCAUCUGGGGACUGGGCAGAAGUCAUGGUCAGAGGGGCACAUAUGUAUUGCUUUGAUGAUGGGGGCAGAGAACAAACAGGAAGAACUGGGAAAUGAAAAUUGCUUUACUUCUUAUAUUCUGACUAGAAAGGCAACCCAAAUGGGAAUCAUAACA